AUCGAACGCUGGCGGCAGGCCUAACACAUGCAAGUAGAGCGGAGCGGCGGACGGGUGAGCAAUGCCUAGGAAUCCGCCUGGGAGUGGGGGAUAACGUCCGGAAACGGGCGCUAAUACCGCAUACUAUCAGAUGAGCCUAGGUCGGAUUAGCUAGUUGGUGGGGUAAAGGCCUACCAAGGCGACGAUCCGUCACUGGUCUGAGAGGAUGAUCAGUCACACUGGAACUGAGACACGGUCCAGACUCCUACGGGAGGCAGCGGUGGGGAAUAUUGGACAAUGGGCGAAAGCCUGAUCCAGCCAUGCCGCUUGUGUGAAGAAGGUCUUCGGAUUGUAAAGCACUUUAAGUUGGGAGGCGUUACCAACAGAGUAAGCACCGGCUAACUUCGUGCCAGCAGCCGCGGUAAUAC
rnacentral:rRNA from 1 species